rnacentral:rRNA from 2 species
AAAUUGAAGAGUUUGAUCAUGGCUCAGAUUGAACGCUGGCGGCAGGCCUAACACAUGCAAGUCGAACGGUAACAGGAAGCAGCUUGCUGCUUCGCUGACGAGUGGCGGACGGGUGAGUAAUGUCUGGGAAACUGCCUGAUGGAGGGGGAUAACUACUGGAAACGGUGGCUAAUACCGCAUAACGUCGCAAGACCAAAGAGGGGGACCUUCGGGCCUCUUGCCAUCAGAUGUGCCCAGAUGGGAUUAGCUAGUUGGUGAGGUAACGGCUCACCAAGGCGACGAUCCCUAGCUGGUCUGAGAGGAUGACCAGCCACACUGGAACUGAGACACGGUCCAGACUCCUACGGGAGGCAGCAGUGGGGAAUAUUGCACAAUGGGCGCAAGCCUGAUGCAGCCAUGCCGCGUGUAUGAAGAAGGCCUUCGGGUUGUAAAGUACUUUCAGCGGGGAGGAAGGUGUUGUGGUUAAUAA